GAUGAACGCUAGCGGCAGGCCUAACACAUGCAAGUCGAGGGGUAGCAGGAUUAAGCUUGCUUAAUUGCUGACGACCGGCGCACGGGUGCGUAACGCGUAUGCAACCUACCUCAUACUGGGGUAUAGCCCGGAGAAAUUCGGAUUAAUCCCCCAUAGUACUAAUGAAUCGCAUGGUUUAUUAGUUAAAGCAUUGCGGUAUAAGAUGGGCAUGCGUCCUAUUAGCUAGAUGGUGAGGUAACGGCUCACCAUGGCUACGAUAGGUAGGGGGCCUGAGAGGGUGGUCCCCCACACUGGUACUGAGACACGGACCAGACUCCUACGGGAGGCAGCAGUGAGGAGUAUUGGUCAAUGGGCGCAAGCCUGAACCAGCCAUGCCGCGUGCAGGAAGAAUGCCCUAUGGGUUGUAAACUGCUUUUAUUUGGGAAUAAACCUCUUUACGUGUAGAGAGCUGAAGGUACCAAAUGAAUAAGCACCGGCUAACUCCGUGCCAGCAGCCGCGGUAA
rnacentral:rRNA from 1 species